rnacentral:rRNA from 1 species
GACGAACGCUGGCGGCGUGCUUAACACAUGCAAGUCGAACGGUGAAGCGAGUGCUUGCACUCGUGGAUCAGUGGCGAACGGGUGAGUAACACGUGAGUAACCUGCCCAUCACUCUGGGAUAAGCACUGGAAACGGUGUCUAAUACUGGAUACGACCAACCCUUGCAUGGUGGGUUGGGGGAAGGAUUUAUCGGUGAUGGAUGGACUCGCGUCCUAUCAGCUUGUUGGCGGGGUAAUGGCCCACCAAGGCGACGACGGGUAGCCGGCCUGAGAGGGUGACCGGCCACACUGGGACUGAGACACGGCCCAGACUCCUACGGGAGGCAGCAGUGGGGAAUAUUGCACAAUGGGCGAAAGCCUGAUGCAGCGACGCCGCGUGCGGGAUGACGGCCUUCGGGUUGUAAACCUCUUUCAGCAGGGAAGAAGCGAAAGUGACGGUACCUGGAGAAGAAGCACCGGCUAACUACGUG